rnacentral:rRNA from 1 species
UUGAAAGGGAAACGAUUGAAGUCAGUCAUGCCAGUGGGAAUCAACUUAGGGGAAACUCUGGGUGCACUUCUUCGCUUGGCAGGUCAACGUCGAUUUUGAAUGUCAUAAAAUAAUUGGGGGAAGGUAGCUCUUCGGGAGUGUUAUAGCCCUUGAUAGAUGUGAUGUUUGGGGUCGAGGAUUGCAACGGAAUCCUUCGGGGCUAGCCGCCUGAUCUCUAAUUGGUGUUGGGUUACGGAUAGCAUGCUGACCGUGAUCUAAUUACUGGUUAAAAGGUUAGAGUGUGCAUAAAUUCGUUAAGGAUGUUGACGUA